AUUGAACGCUGGCGGCAGGCCUAACACAUGCAAGUCGAGCGGAUGAAGGGAGCUUGCUCCUGGAUUCAGCAGCGGACGGGUGAGUAAUGCCUAGGAAUCUGCCUGGUAGUGGGGGAUAACGUCCGGAAACGGGCGCUAAUACCGCAUACGUCCUGAGGGAGAAAGUGGGGGAUCUUCGGACCUCACGCUAUCAGAUGAGCCUAGGUCGGAUUAGCUAGUUGGUGGGGUAAAGGCCUACCAAGGCGACGAUCCGUAACUGGUCUGAGAGGAUGAUCAGUCACACUGGAACUGAGACACGGUCCAGACUCCUACGGGAGGCAGCAGUGGGGAAUAUUGGACAAUGGGCGAAAGCCUGAUCCAGCCAUGCCGCGUGUGUGAAGAAGGUCUUCGGAUUGUAAAGCACUUUAAGUGGGGAGGAAGGGCAGUAAGUUAAUACCUUGCUGUUUUGACGUUACCAACAGAAUAAGCAACGGCUAACUUCGUG
rnacentral:rRNA from 1 species